AAGUCGUAACAAGGUCUCCGUUGGUGAACCAGCGGAGGGAUCAUUACCGAGUGUUUCUACUCUAAACCCACUGUGAACCUUACCACUGUCGUUGCUUCGGCGGGCGUCCGCGCCCGCCGGCAGCACCCAAACUCUUGAUUUUUGUAUGCCUCUCUGAGUACUAAAGACAAAACAAUCAAAACUUUCAACAACGGAUCUCUUGGCUGUG
rnacentral:misc_RNA from 1 species